UACCACUUGUUGCCUCGGCGGAUCAGCCCGCUCCCGGUAAAACGGGACGGCCCGCCAGAGGACCCCUAAACUCUGUUUCUAUAUGUAACUUCUGAGUAAAACCAUAAAUAAAUCAAAACUUUCAACAACGGAUCUCUUGGUUCUGGCAUCGAUGAAGAACGCAGCAAAAUGCGAUAAGUAAUGUGAAUUGCAGAAUUCAGUGAAUCAUCGAAUCUUUGAACGCACAUUGCGCCCGCCAGUAUUCUGGCGGGCAUGCCUGUUCGAGCGUCAUUUCAACCCUCAAGCACAGCUUGGUGUUGGGACUCGCGUUAAUUCGCGUUCCUCAAAUUGAUUGGCGGUCACGUCGAGCUUCCAUAGCGUAGUAGUAAAACCCUCGUUACUGGUAAUCGUCGCGGCCACGCCGUUAAACCCCAACUUCUGAAUGUUGACCUCGGAUCAGGUAGGAAUACCCGCUGAACUUAAGCAUAUCAAUAAGCGGA
rnacentral:rRNA from 1 species